GAUGAACGCUAGCGGGAGGCCUAAUACAUGCAAGUCGAGCGGUAAGUUUCUUCAGGAACUGAGAGCGGCGCACGGGUGAGUAACGCGUACAUGACCUACCUUUAAGUCAAGGAUAGCCCUGGGAAACUGGGAUUAAUACUAGAUGUGAUAAUAUUGAAUAGAGAGAUAUUAUUAAAGCCGAGGUGCUUAGAGAUGGGUGUGCGUCUGAUUAGCUAGUUGGUGAGGUAACGGCUCACCAAGGCGACGAUCAGUAGGGGGCGUGAGAGCGUGAUCCCCCACACGGGUACUGAGACACGGACCCGACUCCUACGGGAGGCAGCAGUAAGGAAUAUUGGUCAAUGGAGGGAACUCUGAACCAGCCAUCCCGCGUGCAGGAUGAAGGUCCUAUGGAUUGUAAACUGCUUUUAGUAGAGAAGAAAAACUUACAUUGAUGUAAGCCUGACGGUAUCUACAGAAUAAGCACCGGCUAACUCCGUGCCAGCAGCCGCAG
rnacentral:rRNA from 1 species